rnacentral:rRNA from 1 species
AUUGAACGCUGGCGGCAGGCCUAACACAUGCAAGUCGAACGGUAACAGGAAGAAGCUUGCUUCUUUGCUGACGAGCGGCGGACGGGUGAGUAAUGUCUGGGAAACUGCCUGAUGGAGGGGGAUAACUACUGGAAACGGUAGCUAAUACCGCAUAACGUCGCAAGACCAAAGAGGGGGACCUUCGGGCCUCUUGCCAUCGGAUGUGCCCAGAUGGGAUUAGCUAGUAGGUGGGGUAACGGCUCACCUAGGCGACGAUCCCUAGCUGGUCUGAGAGGAUGACCAGCCACACUGGAACUGAGACACGGUCCAGACUCCUACGGGAGGCAGCAGUGGGGAAUAUUGCACAAUGGGCGCAAGCCUGAUGCAGCCAUGCCGCGUGUAUGAAGAAGGCCUUCGGGUUGUAAAGUACUUUCAGCGGGGAGGAAGGGAGUAAAGUUAAUACCUUUACUCAUUGACGUUACCCGCAGAAGAAGCACCGGCUAACUCCGUG